UUUGUGAAGGAUAGUAGCACUCGUUAAGGACGUGAUCAGUUAUUUCAAUCUUUGGCAAGCAAUUAUUUAUAGGUUGCCAAAAAAACGCCGCAUUGACACACUGAUUUUAUUCCACUUUGAACAUUAAUUUACAACCUUCAUAACUCAAAUGGUGCAUUGUUCCGAUUUAUUAGCGUCGGAAGGCCUUUCAAGUGCCAUAAAAUUAACAAAUUUUGUUUACCAAAUAAAUUUAAACUGCUUGUCGUUUAACAGCGCAUUAUUAAGCUUGUUUACGGCCAAUUAUUUGAUGUUUUGCAGAUUUUUGGCUUUUCUGUAGAUAGUUAUAGUCCUAUCACUGGCAAAAACUAGGCAAAAAGUAUCACUGGAUCUGCACUAGAAUAUUGCUAAAAAUAAUUAACGGUAGUCAAGUAGGUGCGUUAUUGCAAAUAUGAUUAAUCGCAGUUUUUAUCGCCACCGCGGUGAUAAACCAAUAAAGAAUUUUUCCAUAAUGACCAUCGAUAAGAUUUUUCCACCAUAGCUAAUUUCCAGAUACGAACUUUGUAUGUCACACGUGAAACAAUUAAUAAUAGUAAUGUUUGGAGAUAAUAAAAAUGGAUUUAAUGAAUCACGUCAUGUAAACGAAACGUGUAUGCCGAGUAAGUAAUUAUUAACGAAUUCAGCAAACAGUAAUAAUGGACAAUUACAACGGGAGUUUUCCUGGAACAAGGUCAGGACCAUGAUUGCCGAAGCCUUCAUUCAUGGAUUCAGAGCGCCGUUUUGCAAUUUUGUGAAACUGGAGUGGCCGUAAAUUUUGCAAAGGGGUCAAGAUCAAUAUUGAGGAACCCUCGGCAGGCGUCUCCACAAGCCCAUUUUUGCGUCGAUUGAGAAUUUUCACGAGUGUCUCAAUUUUUCCAAACUACCGGCCGGUGAAGUCACUCGUUUAGCUGAUGGGUUCUUUGGUUCCUUGUUGGUGGAGGAGUCUGCGCGUAAGGUGCACGGAAUAUUACCGACGAUCCUGAUCGAAUGCUCUAGACUUAUUCUAGAGCUAGAGGACCCCCAACCGGCUUGGAGACGCUCCUCUGGUCAUCGCCGGUGAAUUUUCGGCACAAAAAUCGAUGAAGUUGUCACAGUUGACGGUUGCCAUGGACGAUGAUAAGCUUUUCGCUGAAAGCACUGUCUGAGACAGCGUUCCCAGUCUAAAAAUAGGGGAAGGACGUUUUAUUGUUGACAUGCAAAUGACCUUUAAUAAACAAGCAGCCGAAUGUUUGGGAAAGAAUUGUGCCAGGGGUCACCAUAAGCCAAAGGUUGUGGCCUUGGCCUGGUCGCUGAUUCAUUGUUAUCACUAUUAUCACGUUUUUAAUUUACUUGGGUACAGGUUUCGCUCCGAGACUUGGUUGGAGCGCUGUAGAUGGCAGAAGCUUGCUUUCAUGUGGAAGCUCGCAUUAAUUUAUUCCUUUCAGAAUUUUUUAGGUGACCAAGGAAAGAACCGAUAUCUUCGACGAACUGACAGCUCACGAUUCAUUUUUGCUGCUAUUGGAAAUGUGUCAAGCCCGGAAAUUCUAUUUAUUACAAAUUUUAUUGAUUGUCGAGAACUAUAUUGCAAGCAAUUUAGAAUUUGGUCGGUCCACUAUUUUUUACCAAGGAGGAAAAAAAUUGUCAUGAUCCAAUAUCUUUCCCUCAACUAGUUAUAGCUUUUUUCAAGUGUCACAGACUAAAGUACUUUGUGAUAUGAAAUGUUCUCACUUUUCGUUAUUUUUGGAGUCAAGGGAAAAUAAACAACAUUUAUAGAAAAACAAAUUUAUUUGAUCGUGGAUUUGGCCGCUUCGGCAGGGCGAUAACAACUAUUCCUAGAGCCCUGUCGAAGCGAGCCGACGUCUUAUAUCUAGACAACAAAAAUUAGAUCACGGAUCUGUGUAAUAAAUACAAUUAAAAGCGAUAAACUUUUACAAUUUGUUAUAUAACCGUCGAAUAAAUUCUGAUAAACAGUCGCCUAUAGGAUUUGUAAUGCUAUUGAAACGUUUUGUCUUCUCACAUAUGUUACAAAUCGACCUUAUUGUCAGUCAUUCCAAACAAAGCCAUGAGACUAAAAACACAGCUACACCGAUAAUGCAACAUUCAUUAACAUUGGCACGUUAGUCAACAAUAAUUAGCAUACACUUAUUAUUUACACUGAAUAGUUUGGUCUACGUAAACAAUCAAAACCGACUAAAUCACAUGUACAAAAUGGCACUUUUUAAAAAUAAACAUUCGUAGUCAAAAUGAGGUCAUUCGGCCAUGACCUCACUUUGUAAUUUGAUCGAUCACAAAUGAAUGAGGUGAGAUGAUGAGUGAUAUGACAAGAUUAAGAGGAAUUGUGGAAAGGAACGUUUUAUUAGACUUAUUAUCCUGGUCUCGCCCUAUGGUAGCCAUACGUAUAGUAAAUGAAGUAUAUUUCCGGUUUACAGUCACCAAAAGAAUUUCAGUGAUAUAAUUGCGGCGCCGAGAACAUGUGGUAAAGUCGAGUGGACAGCAGCGCCUCGCGAAGUCGUGUAAGUGCUGGAGGAGACGUAAACACUCAAACCUGCAGCGUUCCUGGUCGCCGCUUGAACUUCGUAUUCGGUGUUUGGCUCCAAACCUUCCAAGGAAUACAAAUUGUCUGCGCAAAAAACUGUUUAUUUUGAUACAAUAUCGAUCAUUUUUUAUACCUUGUGUGAUAUUAAAGUCCUUUUGUUUCCA